CAGGUUGGACGACCUUCCUGCGCUUCCUGAUGUCCGGGGACGACCCCA
rfam:Serratia marcescens FGI94, complete genome.